UCCCUGGUGGCUCAGUUGGUAAAGACUCUGCUUGCAAUGCAGGAGACUUGGGUACGAUCCCUGGCUUGGGAA
rnacentral:tRNA from 1 species